CCUACGGGAGGCUUCAGUGGGGAAUAUUGGACAAUGGGGGCAACCCUGAUCCAGCCAUGCCGCGUGUGUGAACAAGGCCCUCGGGUUGUAAAGCACUUUCAGUGAGGAAGAACGCCUGGUGGUUAAUACCCAUCAGGAAAGACAUCACUCACAGAAGAAGCACCGGCUAACUCCGUGCCAGCAGCCGCGGUAAUACGGAGGGUGCGAGCGUUAAUCGGAAUUACUGGGCGUAAAGCGCGCGUAGGUGGCUUGAUAAGCCGGUUGUGAAAGCCCCGGGCUCAACCUGGGAACGGCAUCCGGAACUGUCAAGCUAGAGUGCAGGAGAGGAAGGUAGAAUUCCCGGUGUAGCGGUUAAAUGCGUAGAGAUCGGGAGGAAUAGCAGUGGCGAAGGCGGCCUUCUGGACUGACCCUGACACUGAGGUGCGAAAGCGUGGGUAGCAAACAGGAUUAGAUACCCUUGUAGUC
rnacentral:rRNA from 1 species